rnacentral:rRNA from 1 species
AUGUUCCGCGUUCGGCUAGAGAAUGACACCAUCAUCCUAGGCUAUAUUUCAGGAAAGAUACGGUCUAGUUCUAUACGAAUACUGAUGGGGGAUAGGGUCAAAAUUGAAGUAAGUCGUUAUGAUUCAAGCAAGGGACGUAUAAUUUAUAGACUUCCCCAUAAGGAUUCGAAGCGUAUCGAAGACUCAAAGGAUAGCGAAAAUUUGAAGGAUAGCGAAGAUUUGAAGGAUACCAAAGAUUCAAAGGAUUAG